CUUCAGUGAUGAUUCGAUGACGAGUCGGAAAUGGACUCUGUCUCUACUGUGGUGUCUGGCUUAGGGUCACGUUUUGUGCCUUUGAGUCUAGUCCUCAGUGGAAAGGUGUUCUGCUCAGUUGAAGACAUAGAGGCAUUUGUCUGAGAAGG